GUAGGAACUUUCAGGCAAACUGACUUGUGAAAUGGAAGUAAAAAUUUCUGUGUUUGAGAUUUGACAGGAGGGUCUCAAUUUAUACAUGUAUAGGGGAGAGAGGAAGAGCCUCCAGCCUUUAUAACUGUUCAUAAUGCAUCAUUAAUCCUCUACAAUAAAGACAGGAGUUACAAACCCCAUUAAUGCAGGAGUUACAAACCCCAUUAAUGCAAGAGUUACAACCUUCAUUACCGUUUUUCCAUGAAGCUAACUUCAUGAGAUACAAAGAACAUUUGUCUUCUCAAACACAUCACUGAUAGUUGACAUCUUUGGUUUUUGAAGUUGAAAGAUAUGAAGAGUUGAGUAGUAACCGGAGGCCUCGACUAGUCUCUUCUGCAAUAUUUACAGUCUUUCAUUUCUUUGCUCUUGUUGGCAUUUGCUUUGUACUUCUUUUAUUUUGUAUCCUUAAAAAAAAAAAAAAAAAAA